GAUCUCCUGACCUCGUGAUCCGCCUGCCUCAGCCUCCCACAGUGCUGGGAUUAUAGGUGUGAGCCACCACACCCGGCCAAGAGCACAGUUCUUAUGCUUGACCUUGGUACCAUACUCAGCUGUGGAAAUUCCUUCUGUCAGAAACUUCCAGAUGAUUUCCAGCAACAGGAACUCAGAUAAACAAAGAACAAGACUGUGAACUCAACUGAAAAUGAAAAAUGCGUAAAACCAUGGUGUUCUUCAGUACGGUAUUUCAAAAUAUUAUUCUGUCAGUCCCAGUGGUGGCAAAGAGGCCCAGGACUUGAGUAGGUUACGAACAGCAUCACUUAACUCUAGGCAACGGGCCAAGUCACAGCAGCCGGGGCCUUUAGCUAAGUCUGUACCUGCAGAAUGCUUAGAGUCAAACUUCCACAAGAAUGGGAAGCCAGUGAGGGAAGCAAUAUUUGUCUACUUUUUUCCACUACUGUAAUUCCCAGUGCCUGGCACAGAGAAAAUACAAUAUUUGUUGAGUAAGCAAAGGUCUGAUAAUGAAGAAGAAAACCUGUGUCUGGAGAAAUAUAUGAUUUUAUCAGUCUAUUGUGAAUCACUUAUUUUUGGCUAGCCAUCAUCCUUCCCUACUUUUAACUUCUUAAAUUUUUUUCUGAUAACAGCACUUUCCUCCUUGCUUUGGGGCCUUGUUCUGUAUCAUUUCACGGAGAUUUUGGUGGGGCUGCCCAGCCCAGAAAUAGGGGCUGGGUCUCAAUAUGCCAACCAGACACUAUCUUGGGAAAAGGAAAGUCAUGGGAAGAUAUGCAGGGAGGCUGUCAUCUGAGAUCAGCCACAGGGUCGCUCACUGUGCAGGACUCACUGCCUGCAGUGCCCAGGCUCCUGCCCUGCAUCCUGUUGCGGGUGCAUCUCUGCUGGUUGUAUGAGAUAACCAGUGUUCUUAGGAUAAGCCCCAAAUUUUGUCAUGUUUAAAUUAAUCAGAGUUGGUUUCCACUGCCCCACUCCCCCAUCCAAAAUUCCUAAAUGAAAAAAGUGAGAUAGGAAAGAGUGUCUAUUUAAAGUGAGUGCUUCUUUUUUCUAAACAACCGUUAUUACAUUGAUGCCAUGUUCUGCAUUUCAGAGCGAGGAAACAUAUUGGUAGACACACAUUAAGCUCUCAGCUGUUGACCACGUUUUGAGAUGCAUUCAGUAGACUCCUGCCUCCGCCCUCUCUCCCGUAGACCUGUCCUCCAUCCUGCUGCCUGGAGGGUGGCUCUGAGGUGAGCGUGAGUAUCUCACUCCGGCGAGAAUCCCAGCCGGGGGUCCCCGAGGCGAGUGAGAGCGCUCUUAUCCUCAUAUGGCAGAAGGUCCACAGAGGGGCUCCUGGGCUCCACGGACCCUCAGAAUUGUAGAUACAAUUCUAUCUGUGUGCACUAUUGCAGCAGAUGUGGCCAGAGCUUUGUCAGAUUCUCAAAGAGGCUUGUUACUCAGCCCUCAACGGAGGCCCGCUGCCUAGAGAAAAGAAUCCAUGCUCCUGCACAGCUCAGCCCAGCCACAUUUUCCGACCUUUUGCUGCCUCACUUUUCCCCUUGUGUUCCAUAAAACGAGCAUCUCCAAAGCACUUGCAACUGUUUCCAUAUGCGGGGGUGUUUUAUGGUUUUAUGUCCUUGUACGUGCUGUACCUUCUGAAAUGUUCUCUCCAUACAACCUCUCUGCCCCUUGUCGGUGUCCUCUUCAUCCGUCCGCACCCCCUCAGAGCAUGACUCCCACAGUAGAUCCUUGAUUACUCCCUGCAGAGAAUUGGCUUCUCACCAUGACAGCUUUAUUCCAACCCACCUAGAUCAGUUCCGGCCUAAAGGUCACACGUUGUGCUGCUGAUUCAUGCAAAUCUAGUUCCUUCCCAGGGGGCUGUGGUUUUUCUCCCGCUCCAGCACACUGCUGGGCCCAUAACUGGUCUAAACAAACAAGGGUAGGAUA
rnacentral:lncRNA from 1 species